rnacentral:rRNA from 1 species
CACUCCUGCGGGAGGCAGCAGUGGGGAAUUUUGGACAAUGGGCGAAAGCCUGAUCCAGCAAUGCCGCGUGUGUGAAGAAGGCCUUCGGGUUGUAAAGCACUUUUGUCCGGAAAGAAAUCCUUGGCUCUAAUACAGUCGGGGGAUGACGGUACCGGAAGAAUAAGCACCGGCUAACUACGUGCCAGCAGCCGCGGUAAUACGUAGGGUGCGAGCGUUAAUCGGAAUUACUGGGCGUAAAGCGUGCGCAGGCGGUUUGCUAAGACCGAUGUGAAAUCCCCGGGCUCAACCUGGGAACUGCAUUGGUGACUGGCAGGCUAGAGUAUGGCAGAGGGGGGUAGAAUUCCACGUGUAGCAGUGAAAUGCGUAGAGAUGUGGAGGAAUACCGAUGGCGAAGGCAGCCCCCUGGGCCAAUACUGACGCUCAUGCACGAAAGCGUGGGGAGCAAACAGGAUUAGAAACCCUAGUAGUCCCAUGAU